CGGCUACAUUACUUUUAAACAUCGCUCCCCAUAAGAUCACCGAAGUUAAACAACGUCGAGCCUGGUCAGUACCUAGAUGGGUGACAGCUUGGGAAUACCAAUUGCCGUAAG